rnacentral:pre_miRNA from 1 species
AUAGUACUCCCUCCAUCCCGAAAAUUUUGUCUUAGAUUUUUCUAAAUACGGAUGUAUCAAGUCACGUUUUAGUAUUAGAUAAAUCUGUAUCUAGUCUAAUCUAAGACAAGAAUUUUAGGACAGGCAGUAGUAU